rnacentral:tRNA from 1 species
AAACAUCCGCCGGAUGAACGGAGUUCAUUGAUGUUGAACAUAAGAGUAAAAUUUACUGAUGUUUA